rnacentral:rRNA from 1 species
AUUGAACGCUGGCGGCAUGCCUUACACAUGCAAGUCGAACGGUAACAGGUCUUCGGAUGCUGACGAGUGGCGAACGGGUGAGUAAUACAUCGGAACGUGCCCGAUCGUGGGGGAUAACUACUCGAAAGAGUAGCUAAUACCGCAUACGAUCUACGGAUGAAAGCGGGGGAUCUUCGGACCUCGUGCGGACGGAGCGGCCGAUGGCAGAUUAGGUAGUUGGUGGGAUAAAAGCUUACCAAGCCGACGAUCUGUAGCUGGUCUGAGAGGACGACCAGCCACACUGAGACUGAGACACGGGCCAGACUCCUACGGGAGGCAGCAGUGGGGAAUUUUGGACAAUGGGCGAAAGCCUGAUCCAGCAAUGCCGCGUGCAGGAUGAAGGCCUUCGGGUUGUAAACUGCUUUUGUACGGAACGAAAAGACUCCUUCUAAUACAGGGGGUCCAUGACGGUACCGUAAGAAUAAGCACCGGCUAACUACGUGCCAGCCGCCGCAGUAAAAC